UACGUGGGGGGCGAGCGUUGUCCGGAUUUAUUGGGCGUAAAGAGCUCGUAGGCGGCUUGUCACGUCGACUGUGAAAACCCGGGGCUCAACUCCGGGCCUGCAGUCGAUACGGGCUGGCUUGAGUGCGGUAGGGGAGACUGGAAUUCCGGGUGUAGCGGUGGAAUGCGUAGAGAUCCGGAAGAACACCGGUGGCGAAGGCGGUGUGCUGGGCCGUAGCUGACGCUGAGGCGCGACAGCGUGGGGAGCAAACAGG
rnacentral:rRNA from 1 species